rnacentral:lncRNA from 10 species
GCAUGGUAGCAUCACAGAUGCUGUUUGUCUCAGUUUCCUGAGAAGCCAGUUUCUUAGAGCUGUCAUUCAAGAGUGGGUCAAAUUUGAGAUAUAAAAACCUUUCUCAAGGUAGACUCUUUGGCCCCUAUGCCUAGUAUGUCAGCUGGGCCUCUGAAGCUCUCCUCUUUGAGGUCCUGGCAGGCUCUGGCCCCUGUUGAGAAGGGGAAGCAGUCAUGUGAACUCAUGUGCUGGAAGAAUCCACUCUACCCCUUCCCUGGCUUCUCUGCUGCAAUUUUUGUCUUUAAACGUAUUUUCAGAUCCUUUGCACAUGGCCUGCUAUCAACAAUCCUCUACAAUGAUUCUCAGCAUCACCUAGGGAGCUUAUGUAAAAUCUCAAAUUCCUGGGCCCUAUCCCCAGAGUUUCUUAUCAAGUAAGUCUGCAUUGGGAUCUGAGGAUUUGCAUCUCUAACAAAAAUUCCUAGGCGAUGCUCACACUGUUGGUGUAAGGGUGAGUACAAAUUAGAAAUAAAACUAUUUAAUUCUGCCUGGUGCAAAGGAGAGAGAGAGACUUUUACCCUCCACAUCCUUUUCUUUGGUCAUUUACUUUAGGAAACUUAAUUGUAAGCUUUUUCUGUGCCUCUUUGAAAUGCCUGUAAAUCUUUCCAAAAACUAAAUUAGGCUUUUGCCAAUUUUACAACCUAAGAAUGUGAAUUCCUCAAGGACCUGGGAGCUAUCUCACUGAAAUUUAAUCAUUGAGAAAAAUAGUACCCCUAUCUUUCAGCUUCCUGGAAACAUAAGAGCCUAACUUUAUUAGGCACCUUGCUCCAUUACAAAGCUAUCUUCUGUCAUAAAGAUACAAGAAAUUUAUUUUUCCCUUGGACAAAAGCAACUAACUAGCAGAGGGUCACCAAAAUUACCAGGUGAAUUUAGGGUGAACUCUGUGUGACAAAUGGUGCUGCCAAGUUCUCUUGAGUACUAUAGAAAGUGCAUGACAUGAAUUUUUUACUUCAUGAUGGUGCAAAACCAUUGCUUUUCACUUUCAGUAUAAUAUUCAAGAAAUUACAUAUUGAAUAUAAGAUAUUCAAUAUCUUAUUCUUUAUUAUAGGCUUUGUGUUAUAUAAUUUUGCCCAACUAACUGUAGGCUAAUGUAAGUGUUCUGAACAUGUUGAAGGUAGGUUAGACUAAGCUCUAAUGUUCAGUAGGGUAGGUGUAUUAAGUGCAUUUUCAACUUACGAAAUUUAAGCUGAUAUCCAAAGAAUGAGUAAGAAUGAGGUAAAGGAGCAAGAAAACAUUGCUUCAGGCAAAGGAAUAGUAUGUGCAAAAGCCCUGGGGUUUAAGAAUAUGAUGUUUUUAGAGAACUGCAAAUAAUUCAGUAUGGUUGGAGCAGAGGGAUGUGGAAUGAUUAUUGAUUCUGUUGGAGAGUAGACAGAGGCCAGAUUGCUAUGCUUAGAUACAAUUUCAACCACCUACAAAUCCAUCUAAUUACCUACAUGACCAUCAUCAUCUGGUCAUGUUUCUCCAUUUUAUCAUUAUGUAUACCUUAAAGACUUGCUCACAUUACUUAAAAUUGAGAUAGGUUAGGCAUCUAUCCAAUCUCCCAUGCCAGUAAUUCUACAGAAACAGAUUAGGUUAGCUAGAUAAGCAUGUUUACAAUUAAAUUUAUGCUGUAUCCUUCUAAUCACCACUUUCUCAUCAAAAUGCUCACAAAUCAUCUGCAUCAUUGUCCAUUCUUUAAAAAUGUAUAAACCCAUCUCUACUAAAAAUACAAAAUUAGCUGGGCAUGAUGGCGCACGCCUGUAAUCCCAGCUGUUCAGGAGGCUGAAGCAGAAGAAUUGCUUGAACCCCGGAGACGGAGGUUGCAGUCAGCCGAGAUUGCACCAUUGCUCUCUAGCCUGGGCAACAAGAGCAAAACUCCAUCUCAAAAAAAAAAAAAAAAGUAUAAAUUUGUAUCAAGCAUGCUGGCUUGAGGGUUUAAGGAAUUUCUUUUUUUUAUUUCUGACAUACUUCUGUGGAGUGUGUUUUGCUUUCAUUUUUGUUGUAUUGUUUGUAAUUUACACUAUUAACAGUUUCUAUUAGUGCUGUGGAAUUAAUUCCUCUUGUGCUGAAGAUAGAAAUAUAUUAUUUCUAGGAAGAAAUUGUCCUUAUCGUCUUCACUAAUAUUGGACUUAGAGAGUCCUCCUAUAAGACAUGUUCUGUUUUUCAUUUUGAACAGUUUCCUUGAUGGAGAACUAUCAAAGCAGUCAAAGCUAUCAAAAUAAAAAAGAAUUCUGAUUGGGUGCAGUGGCUCACACCUGUCAUUCCAGCACUUUGAGAGGCCAAGGUGGGCAGAUCACAUGAGGCCAGGAGUUCAAGACCAGCCUGGCCAACAUGGCAGAAACCCCAUCUCUACUAAAAAUACCAAAAUUAGCCGGGCAUGGUGGAACACACCUGCAAUCCCAGCUACUCGGGAGGCUGAGGCAAGAGAAUCGCUUGAACCUGGGAGGCAGAAGUUGCAGUGAAACAAGUUGGUGCCAAUGCAUUCCAGCCUGGAUGAUGGAGCGAGACUCUGUCUCAAGAAAAAAAAAACAAAAACAAAAACAGAACUCUGCCUCAUAGCGUCUUUUAAGUUAUACACUGGACCUAUCCUUUCCUCACUGACAGACAUUUUAAAAAUUUUUUGGUAAGGCCUAGUUCAUAUAAAAUGUAAUCCAAGCCAAAAGUUAACAAGAAUAAGGGGAGGAAAGGGGACUCCAAUAGCAGAGAAAGGUAUUUACCUGGGAUAUACACUGCAAGAAAAUCAAAGCUAUAAGAAACGUCCAUGAAUAGUAGCCAUAAGGCAUCAGAGUGAUAAAAUUCCUGUCCCUAGGAGGGAAUAUUGGAGUUUGCCAGAGAAACAGAAUGAGAGAGACAGAGAGGUUUAUUGUAGGAAUUGGCUCAUAUGAUUACGGAGGCUGAGAAGACCCACGAUCUGCCAUCUGCAAGCUGGAGAAUCAGGAAAGCUGGAGGUGUAAUUCAGUCAAGUCCAAUGGCCAGAGAAGCAAGUGUACUGAUAUCCAAGAGCAGGAGAAAAUAGAUGUCCCAGAACAAGCAGAGAGGCUGAUUUUGUCCUUCCUCUGCCUUUUUGUUUCAUAUGGGGCACUGAAUGGACUGAUGCCCAUCCACAUUAGUGAGGGUGGAUCUUCUUUACUCAGUCUACCAGUAGAAAUGUCAAUGACUUCCAGAAACACCCUCACCAACACACGUGGAAAUAAUGUUUUACCAGGUAUCUGGGCAUCCCUUGGUUCACUCAAGUUGACACAAAAUUAACCAUCACAGAAGGAGACUGGCCUUACUCUGAAAUUAGGAAACUAAAGAAGUGACCAGAAUGGAGACUAGGUAGAGACAACUAGUUCUCUACCAAACAUGUACAGUUAUUCGUUGGUAUCUGAAGGGGAUUGGUUCCAGGAACUCUCAGGGAUACCAAAAUCUGCAGGUGCUCAAGUCAUUUAUAUAAAAUAUUACAGUAUUUGCAUAUAACCUUUGCACAUCUUCCAUAUACUUUAAAUCAUCUCUACAUUACUUAUAAUAAUGAAUGUGUAAAUGCUAUGAAAAUAGUUACUACACUAUUGUUUAUUUGUAUUUUUAUUGAAUUGUUUUGGGGUGGGGGGCAGCUGUAUCUUUCUUAGUAAUAGAACCCCUGGUUUUAGCUGGGCACAUGACUGCCCUCAAUAAAGAUUAAAGUACCCCAGCCUUCCUUGAGAUUGUGGCCAUGUGACUGAACUUUAGACAGUGAGAUAUAAGCAGAUAUCUUCUGUGGCAGUGUUAGGAAACUAUUAAAGACAGUAAGAACAUUGCCCUUUGCCUUCUUUUUCCUUUCUUCAUUUUUCUGCCUGGAAUGCAAAUGUGAUGGCUAACACCCUAGCAGCCAUUUUAGAUUAUGAAGAUGAGAGUCACUCCCCAGGAAGGGUGGACCUGAAAGCUGGAUUCUAGAUGUGGAAUGACAAUACCAGCCCUGGACUACCUACCUGUAGGCUGUGUGUGUGUGUGUGUGAUUGACAGAGAGAGAGAGAGAUAGAUACCACAAGUAACACAAAGCAUCAUACCUGGGACUGGGAAGGUUAAUGUUUAAACAUUUUAAAUGUGGCAUUGGUUUGUUGAAGACAGUCAAGCAGUAGGUGCUGCAGGCUUUGUUGAGGCUAGAAAGCUGUUGGUCUUUAUUAGGUGAUGGCAAAACAAUGGAUCACAUUUUCAUGUGCUGUGUCUUGGGAGGCAAAUGAUGAGAAUGUAGGAUUGGGGAAAAUGGUAAGGAAAAUCCAAAAUGUUCAUGUUUUCUAACCCCUUCUUGCCAAUCUUAAAAGAAGGACAAACAGGCUAGAUUAAGCAAGUCUACAGUUACAAUUGGAAGGAAACACAGCCGUACUAAGGAAGUACUCUGUCUGUGGCCUGCAGUCUAGUUUGACUAGGUCCUGUAUUUGAGCUUUGAAAGAGUAAAGAAUACAAGUGCUCGUAUACCCCUGAAGUAGUUACCAGCAGUGACUGCAAGGAGGUAAUCUUAUGGGAUGAAACUAUAACUCUGUAUUAACCAUCAUAUAUAGCAUAUAUGUGUAUAUGUAUGUGUGUGUGUGUAUAUGUGUAUAUAAAUAUAUGUGUGUGUAUAUACACACAUGUACACACCCUACAACCCAGUGAUUUCAAAAAAUUAAACAUUUGUUUAGCUCAUGAAUCUGUGGGUUGGGUGAACAUUUCUAUUGGUCUUGGCUGGGCUCACCUGUACCCAGUCAGCUGCAGGGUCUAGCUCUUCUUAUCUUGGCUGGGAUCUCACACAUGUCUAGGAUCAGCUGCUUUACUAGUCUAGGAUUGUCUUGGCUGAGACAGGUGGACUACUCAGUUCUCCUCCACUGCCUUAUCCUUCAGCUGGCCAGCCCAGAAAUGUUGCCAUGUUUACAGCAUAAGAGCAAGCAAGAAAGAAUAAUAUGCAACCACUUUUCCAAGCCUAAGGUGAAAGGGCGGGCAGAACCUGUGGUGUUAGGAGGCAACUCAUACCAGCCCAUGGGUCUACCGUUUAAUUUUCAGAAAUUUGGCAAGCUGAUUGUUAACACAGCUGUUGUUUAAUUUAUGUACUUGUAAUUAAAUAAUUUACAUUAAAACAAAGAUAAUAGGUACUCAAAACUCAUGACUUUCUAGUUAUUUUAUUAUAUUUUACUAUUGUCUGUCCUCUUAAGGUGUUUGUUUCUAGUGUAUCUGGUGGAAACACUACUUCAUGUUUCAGUUGUGUCAAACCAGUAGCUUGAAAUCAGCCACUGUUGGAGUGUUUAUACCACAGAAAUUGAUAGAAGCUACAAAUGAAGUGUUGCUUGUUGAUUUGUUUUGUUAAUUGUCUGGCUUAAGAAAGUGGUAGAGAAAACAUUAAUGCAGAUUAAAUUUAAAAGCGUGUUGUGUCUGCGGCCGUUACAUUGCAAAUACAAAAAAUAAUUGAGGAAAUGUUCUUUGAAAACUAUUAUCUAAUUCUGCAAAGUUGUCACCUCAUUUACAAACAACUGCAGUUUCAGCUACCUCUUUAUUGUUUUACUUUCCUCUUACUGACAAUGAGAAUAUCAAUUAACAUUCAUGUCAGAACUACACUUGCUCAUGAACUACAACUGUA